rnacentral:rRNA from 1 species
GAUGAACGCUGGCGGCGUGCCUAAUACAUGCAAGUCGAGCGAACAGACGAGGAGCUUGCUCCUCUGACGUUAGCGGCGGACGGGUGAGUAACACGUGGAUAACCUACCUAUAAGACUGGGAUAACUUCGGGAAACCGGAGCUAAUACCGGAUAAUAUAUUGAACCGCAUGGUUCAAUAGUGAAAGACGGUUUUGCUGUCACUUAUAGAUGGAUCCGCGCCGCAUUAGCUAGUUGGUAAGGUAACGGCUUACCAAGGCAACGAUGCGUAGCCGACCUGAGAGGGUGAUCGGCCACACGGGAACUGAGAAACGGUCCAGACUCCUACAGGAGGCAGCAGUAGGGAAUCUUCCGCAAUGGGCGAAAGCCUGACGGAGCAACGCCGCGUGAGUGAUGAAGGUCUUCGGAUCGUAAAACUCUGUUAUUAGGGAAGAACAAAUGUGUAAGUAACUAUGCACGUCUUGACGGUACCUAAUCAGAAAGCCACGGCUAACUACGU